rnacentral:lncRNA from 1 species
UUUGGAGCUCCGCCCUCCCCGUGGGACCCUGCCCCUGAAGCCCCCUCCAGCGAGGGGUUCCUUGCGCGCCCGGUGAGACGCUGCGCCGCUUUCGUGCCGGUGCGUGGUCCCCAGAGGAGCUUAGGUAGGUCUUGGGGGCGGGGAGGGGGUGGUGAGGUCGCGCGGCCUGCGGCGCCUGGAUCCCGUUGCCGGGAAGGACCGGAACCGCAUUCUGCGGGUGCCUCUGCUGGAGGGCUUUCUGUUACCCCUCCGUCUCACGUCUGAGCUCGGCGGUUGCCCCGACACACCGCGCUGUGGGCUCCGGCCACCGCAGCCCUCUAGAUUCGGGUUGAGAGGAUGGAGCUACCGGGGUCCUUUCCCCAGAGUCCGAGGCUGCCGACACCCCGAGGGUGAGGGCGCGGAGAGAGGAGCCGGUCCCGCGGGACGGUGGUUGGGCUCUUUUGUCUGUGCCUCCGCCAGUUUGGUUUCUGCUUUCUGGGAGAGCUGGCGCACCUCCUGUACCUGUGACUUCACCAACUGGAUGUGAUUCCUGGCAGUUAUGGAGGCCUGAUCUGCUCCUGUCAAAAGAUGGACAGUUGCACUGAACACCACAGUAGGGACAGAAGUCACACAUGAAGGCGAGGCUGGCGGCUCAGCCCUCCUCAGAUUACUUCCCCGACAUCCUACUUCCUUUGAGAAGACGGGGUGCUGGAGGGCUGAGUGACUGAGAGGUCCAGAGGAUGCAAGUUGGGGAGCACCCAUGCUAGGGGCUCACACGACCUUUACAACUCAAGCUCCAGGGGGUGUGAUUCCUGGACACUGGAGACACCUGCACUGCCAUGCACCCAGCGGUUAAGACAAAACCCUGUGGUCUCCCUCUACAUCCCAGGCGGGCCCUGAAUUCUCCGUACCCAGUCUGAGCUCCAUUUGCACGUACUGCUGUGGGUGUAGGCUCAGCUGUCACUGCAUCUGACUUGCACUCGAUUUACAAGUUGGUCAGACUCCACUGUCAGGUUCAGCUUGGUGUCUGCUGUUGACUAGCUUAGCCAGGCCAGCUCUCAGGAGACAGAGCCCCAGCAGCGUGGGUGAGCUGCAGACGUGCCACGCACAGCUUGUUUCUGCAUGGGUGCUAGACAUCCAAACCUGGGGCGUCGUCGUGUUUGCACAAGCAUGUUACCAGCCGAGCCAUCUCUCCUGGAAUUUUAGGUUUUGAAUAUCUAACUCUUCCCCCAAAUAACCUGGGCUUGGUGACCAUCUCUGAAUAGAAUUUCAACUUUACUAUUAGCCUUCUAUAGAUGCCUCAGUUCUUUAACCUAUUUUACAUUCAUUAAUAAGAUUUACGUGGUCUUUGGAUGUUGCUUUUAUUUAACAUUCUCCUCUCAAGGGAGAAACCAAGUGCUUUUGUACUUAGAUCAUGUGUUUUACUGAAAUGCUGUUCUUUUGGGAACACCAUCUAGUUUUUAGCUGUGUAAAGUGUCAGAUGGUGCUAAUGUUUAAAUAGCUUUCUUCAAAUAGUUUCUCAAGGUGGAGCAGAGUGCACAGUGGAAGUCAGAGAACAGCUAAUGGGAACCAGGUCUCUCUCUCACCAUCUGGGUCCCAGGCUUGGUGGCGGGAGCCUCUACCUGCUGAGCUCGCGCAGCCCAAUUUCUCCAUUAUCUGUGGCGCUAUGCAAACAGCAGAGCUCACAGUUCACAGCUGUAUGCAUGGCUGGCUCCUUUCCAGUUCUGGCAAUACUGUAUCCCUGCAGUGACUGGUCGAGCACCUUGUAAACAUUUCAGAAAGUAUCUCCCCGUGUGACAGUUACAACGAUGUCCUGUAUUGUAAAGUAUCACAACCAAAAUCCAGUCCAGAUGUCCAUCCCUUUUCAGAGUCCAC